CGUUGCACUAUCGUUAACUGAAUACAUAGGUUAACGAGGCGAACCGGGGGAACUGAAACAUCUAAGUACCCCGAGGAAAAGAAAUCAACCGAGAUUCCCCCAGUAGCGGCGAGCGAACGGGGAGCAGCCCGGAGUCUGAAUCAGCUUGUGUGUUAGUGGAACGGUCUGGAAAGUCCGACGGUACAGGGUGAUAGUCCCGUACACGAAAAUGCACAUGCUGUGAACUCGAAGAGUAGGGCGGGACACGUGGUAUCCUGUCUGAAUAUGGGGGGACCAUCCUCCAAGGCUAAAUACUCCUGACUGACCGAUAGUGAACCAGUACCGUGAGGGAAAGGCGAAAAGAACCCCGGCGAGGGGAGUGAAAAAGAACCUGAAACCGUGUACGUACAAGCAGUGGGAGCCUCUUUAUGGGGUGACUGCGUACCUUUUGUAUAAUGGGUCAGCGACUUAUAUUCUGUAGCAAGGUUAACCGUAUAGGGGAGCCGAAGGGAAACCGAGUCUUAACUGGGCGUUAAGUUGCAGGGUAUAGACCCGAAACCCGGUGAUCUAGCCAUGGGCAGGUUGAAGGUUGGGUAACACUAACUGGAGGACCGAACCGACUAAUGUUGAAAAAUUAGCGGAUGACCUGUGGCUGGGGGUGAAAGGCCAAUCAAACCGGGAGAUAGCUGGUUCUCCCCGAAAGCUAUUUAGGUAGCGCCUCGUGAACUCAUCUUCGGGGGUAGAGCACUGUUUCGGCUAGGGGGCCAUCCCGGCUUACCAACCCGAUGCAAACUACGAAUACCGAAGAAUGUUAUCACGGGAGACACACGGCGGGUGCUAACGUCCGUCGUGAAGAGGGAAACAACCCAGACCGCCAGCUAAGGUCCCAAAGUCAUGGUUAAGUGGGAAACGAUGUGGGAAGGCACAGACAGCCAGGAUGUUGGCUUAGAAGCAGCCAUCAUUUAAAGAAAGCGUAAUAGCUCACUGGUCGAGUCGGCCUGCGCGGAAGAUGUAACGGGGCUAAACCAUGCACCGAAGCUGCGGCAGCGACACUAUGUGUUGUUGGGUAGGGGAGCGUUCUGUAAGCCGUUGAAGGUGUGCUGUGAGGCAUGCUGGAGGUAUCAGAAGUGCGAAUGCUGACAUAAGUAACGAUAAAGCGGGUGAAAAGCCCGCUCGCCGGAAGACCAAGGGUUCCUGUCCAACGUUAAUCGGGGCAGGGUGAGUCGACCCCUAAGGCGAGGCCGAAAGGCGUAGUCGAUGGGAAACAGGUUAAUAUUCCUGUACUUGGUGUUACUGCGAAGGGGGGACGGAGAAGGCUAUGUCAGCCGGGCGACGGUUGUCCCGGUUUAAGCAUGUAGGCGGAGGUUCCAGGUAAAUCCGGUACCUUAUUAACGCUGAGGUGUGAUGACGAGGCACUACGGUGCUGAAGUGAUAAAUGCCCUGCUUCCAGGAAAAGCCUCUAAGCAUCAGGUAACACGAAAUCGUACCCCAAACCGACACAGGUGGUCAGGUAGAGAAUACCAAGGCGCUUGAGAGAACUCGGGUGAAGGAACUAGGCAAAAUGGUGCCGUAACUUCGGGAGAAGGCACGCUGAUGUGUAGGUGAAGCCCCUGCGGGCGGAGCUGAAAUCAGUCGAAGAUACCAGCUGGCUGCAACUGUUUAUUAAAAACACAGCACUGUGCAAACACGAAAGUGGACGUAUACGGUGUGACGCCUGCCCGGUGCCGGAAGGUUAAUUGAUGGGGUUAGCGGCAACGCGAAGCUCUUGAUCGAAGCCCCGGUAAACGGCGGCCGUAACUAUAACGGUCCUAAGGUAGCGAAAUUCCUUGUCGGGUAAGUUCCGACCUGCACGAAUGGCGUAAUGAUGGCCAGGCUGUCUCCACCCGAGACUCAGUGAAAUUGAACUCGCUGUGAAGAUGCAGUGUACCCGCGGCAAGACGGAAAGACCCCGUGAACCUUUACUAUAGCUUGACACUGAACACUGGUCCUUGAUGUGUAGGAUAGGUGGGAGGCUUUGAAGCGUGGACGCCAGUCUGCGUGGAGCCAACCUUGAAAUACCACCCUUUAAUGGCUGGUGUUCUAACGUAGACCCGUAAUCCGGGUUGCGGACAGUGUCUGGUGGGUAGUUUGACUGGGGCGGUCUCCUCCCAAAGAGUAACGGAGGAGCACGAAGGUUGGCUAAUCCUGGUCGGACAUCAGGAGGUUAGUGCAAUGGCAUAAGCCAGCUUGACUGCGAGCGUGACGGCGCGAGCAGGUGCGAAAGCAGGUCAUAGUGAUCCGGUGGUUCUGAAUGGAAGGGCCAUCGCUCAACGGAUAAAAGGUACUCCGGGGAUAACAGGCUGAUACCGCCCAAGAGUUCAUAUCGACGGCGGUGUUUGGCACCUCGAUGUCGGCUCAUCACAUCCUGGGGCUGAAGUAGGUCCCAAGGGUAUGGCUGUUCGCCAUUUAAAGUGGUACGCGAGCUGGGUUUAGAACGUCGUGAGACAGUUCGGUCCCUAUCUGCCGUGGGCGCUGGAGAAUUGAGGGGGGCUGCUCCUAGUACGAGAGGACCGGAGUGGACGCAUCACUGGUGUUCGGGUUGUCAUGCCAAUGGCACUGCCCGGUAGCUAAAUGCGGAAGAGAUAAGUGCUGAAAGCAUCUAAGCACGAAACUUGCCCCGAGAUGAGUUCUCCCUGAGACUUUAAGUCUCCUGAAGGAACGUUGAAGACGACGACGUUGAUAGGUCGGGUGUGUAAGCGCAGCGAUGCGUUGAGCUAACCGAUACUAAUGAACCGUGAGGCUUAACCUUACAACGCCGAAGGUGUUU
rnacentral:rRNA from 1 species